CGGUGUCUGGAAAAGGAUGGGCACCGUGUGAAUGUUCGUUCAGUGAAUGCUCGUUCAGUGAAUGCAUGCACACAUAAGAGGGGUUCAAUGAAUGUUACCGGCUGCUUGAAUGAAAAGCACUGAUUUGCUGAAACACCUGACACAGCCCGAAUCAUCUCCAGUGUUCGUGUUAGCAAUUACCCUUGGCUUCCGAGUGCAUAUACCGUGGAGUGCACACUUCUUUUGCUUGCCCCUACACUUUGUUGUGGCUGUUCAGCGGCUGGCCUGUCCUGUGUUGGCCUUGGCAGCUGAGCAUUAAGCAUCCCUGUUCCUCAGUGGGCAUCUCAUUGCUCCUUCAGCAGACGCUCUGUUAUGUUCUCUGCUGUGUUGAUGAGGAAUCGCAGACCUCGUGGGAAAGCAGGGUUAGUGGGGGAGAGCAAGACCAGACCCAGUGAUGACGUGCACGGGUCUGUGUGUGGGGUGAGGAGUUUUCCCACCUGGUACAACUCGUGCCCCAAGCGGUAGCAGUGAGCAAGCGGGCACACACAACAGCCAGUCCCCAUGGAAUUCACAGAUACGGGACCCGGGAUACACCCUUCAGUGGCCAGAGGAUGACACCUCGUCAAAUCACAGCCCUUGGGGUUGGCAUUGCCUGGCAGUGCUAAGCCAUCGGCAUUGCACAGCUGGGGACCAGCUGCACGGUUUCCACGAGGGCCCUGCUGUCACCUGCUCUGCAGCUGCAGCUGUCAGCCUCUAUUUCUGAUUAGUGACAUCUUCCAGGUUUGCUGAAAUGUGCAAGAUGGGCGAGUGCCUCGUGGUGUGUGUGACGUGGGGACCGUCUCGGGUACUUGUUACAGACGCAGAUUCCCAGUCCCUCUUGAUCAGCUGCCGAGCUGCUCUGUCACCUCAUGUUUGAGCAUGCAGUUAGGUAGUUUGCUAAUCUGUUUUUUUUUUUUUUUAUAAAGCCUAGAAAGUACCAGUCAGAAAACAUUCGAUCCAGAGGUUAAUUGAGUCUCACAUCUUUCUGCUUGUGCUGGAGCUGCCUAAGAAUUUGGCCAUCCUGUCUUCCUUCUGCACUUGGGGAAAGCAGGGCUAGUCUCUCAUCUGAGCCCUAAGGCUGGAUGGCCCUGCCUUACCCAGAUCUGCACAGAGGUGACGGUAGCAAAGGUCUGUGACGUGAGCUGAAACGCACGGGUCCUGCGAACCAGAUAACACAGUUCCUUUGUCAGAUGUAGAUGAGUUAGUUCAAGAGGAAAGCUACUCUGACUCAGCUACUGAGUUAGUUCAAGAGGAAAGAUGCUUUUCUGGUGGAAAAAAGAUAAAGGUUCUCAGAAAAAGGAUAAAGGUUCUGAGGUUUGUGAUGGUAACUAGCCUUCUGCUCAUAUCAGAUAUACUUCUGCCUGAUCCUGCCUCUCCUGUUUCUGGCACUCCUUUUUGUCAAAUAUUUUGAGGUAUUUGAGUUAAAAAAAAAAAAGUCAGAAAAAACCCUAAGAAACAGUCUUCUAUUUAAAUGACGGCAGUGGUGGAUAAGGACGCCUCUUUUCAAAACUUGAGUCCCCGUAUCCCGAAAGACAAGGCGCGGUGAAUGAAUAAACAGGGCGGGUGUGUUCUCUGCAGCCAGUCAUCUCGUAGCUAACGGAGUCUGCUUCGUUAUGCUGCCACAUCUAGUAGUGAACCUCCCCUCUGGAGAAAAUGCCACUUAAGAUUCCUGUUUAAGUCCUCACAUUUAUCCUCUUAGCGGUAUCUCCUUUUAUCUGAGCUCUGAUUUAGAGGGCUGCAGUCCUUGACCUAGACGAAGUCAUUUCCAAAGGAAGUAGCAGAAAGGCCCAUUCAAUGGUAGUUUGGGACUUGUGCUACAUUGAGUUACAUAACUGUCCACGUCAUAGUGUACUAAUUCAGCACUCUUGGGCAUUGUGCAAGAGCUUGCACACAAAAGAGGGAGCAUUCCAGCCGACACACCAGAGGACUGGAGUGUGUCUAUGCUGAAACCCUCCAGGCGGUUGCAGGCGGUCUGAUUCCUCGUGUAUCCAGGGAAGGGCCCGACUCGUGCCAACUGCUGUACAGAAGAGGGGAGAUUACGGUGUUUGUUCUCCUAGAACCGGUCUGGUUGAUGUUACAGUUGGUCGGGGAGUACGUAAACACAAAAUGUGCAGUCAUUGUUCUGUACUGGAAAGGCAACGGCGUCCGAUCGCUGAGGAUUUGCAGCUUGCGUUGGCGCGUGUGCUGGGUGCGUGGCUGGAGUGUCGAGGCUGGGAGGCCUCUCUCAGGUUGAAUCCGUGAAGGCCAAGGAGGAAACACGAGAGAAGAAGAGGGCUUGUCAGAUGUAGCUUAAGGUUCAGGCAGAGCCAGGGGCCUCUUUCUGAAUAGCUGGCGUGUGCAGGGGGCGGGGCUUGCCUCGAGACCAGUCCCAGACCUGCUCAGGGAUGAGAGCGCACAAAUGGCCUCAGGUCCUCAGAGAGGCUCAAGGAAGCGGGGUUGUUUAACUGGUGGUUUUUAAGACUUUAGGAUCAGAAGUCUUGACUGGAAAUCAGACGAACUGGAUGUGGUUGGAGGAGGGCGAGUGCUACAUUUAUCUUCCCUGUUGUGCAAUUUUUGAGGCCUCUCCAGUGAAUGUAUUAAGAGUCCCAUAGCAUAAAACAAGGGUGGCUUGAGGUUGAUACGAGUAUUUUACCCAAGGAAUUGAGAUCUAAGUGCUCCUGGUUUGCAGGGUACUAGCUUAAUUUUCUAAACCUUUGAAAGAACUUCUUUAAUAAAGAGCCACAUCGACCACCUUGGGAGGGACUUGUCAUUCCUGGGUCAGCCACGAUACACAUCUGGUCUCUGGAGGAGCCAGCGAGGUUAUUACCUUUGAUGGAGAAGUGAAUCCAGUGAACAGAGGCUCUCCUCUCCAGUAUUACUUCCUGAAUGAACACAGCAGCCCCAAGUCAGAAGACUUUUCUUUUUCUCUUUGUAAACACAUACACACACACACACGCACACAGAGGUGUGAGGGGAAAGGGAGAGGGAGAGAGGGUUGGUUUGGGGUCUUGGAAUUACUUCUACUUGGGCUGAAAUGGGUCCGGCUGAAAUCCCCGGGCCCAGCAGGUGAGGACUCCGGUACCUCAGGCUUCCCAGAACACAGACCCAGGUUCACUGUGCAGCUCCCCCCCUGAGUGUGCAGCUCCCCGAGAGCGCGUCCAUCUCAUUUCUGAGCUCCAGUUGCUCAUCUCCAGAGUCAGGAUUGUUAACACUUGUUUUGCAUGGGUUUUGUGACGAUAAAGUAAUAUUUAGAAAGUUCCUAGCUGAUCAGCAUGUACAGCAGGCUAAAAAAA